GUCUUGUCAGUGAUUUAAUAUUAAAAAAAAAAUGUCUGAACUUAUGACUAUUCUGAUUCAACUUUUUCGCUGAGACAAGAC